CCAGAACUGGACAUAGUAUUCCAGAAGAGGCAUCCCCAACGUCCUGUACAUCCUCAACAUAACGUCACAAGUCCUGUACUCCAAGGUCUGAACAAUGAAGAUCCCAGUGAUUAAUGCCAAAGCCCUGUUGCCUGGGGAGAGGGUGAUGCUUGACUUUCUUGUACAGCUGCAGUUUGUGUGGUGAAGGUGCUCCCACAAUGUGGUUCGGAUAUUAAAUCAGAAUAAUUGAAGUUGGGAUCUAAAAAGCAAGUUUUUACAGUCAAUGGAUUCAUCAGGAUCUGAAUAUCAUUGGCAUUUAACUGUGGAAGAAGAAAGGAUGAGGCUGUCACUGGCUCGGCCAGCAUUUAUUGCUGCGUUUACCCAGAGGGCAGUUAAGAGUCAACCACGUUGCUGUAGGUCUGGAGUCCCAUGCAGACCAGACCAGAUCCCAGUGAUCAGUGCCAAAGCCCCAUUGCCUGUGAAGAGGGUGAUGUUUGAUUUCCCUGUCCAGCUGCAGUUCAUGUCGUGAAGGUGCUCCCACAAUGUGGUUGGGUGGACAUUCAGAUGGUAAUCUCAGUAAUUGUAACGCCAAACUGUGACAAAAUUACUCAAUUCAUC